UGGACCAAUGAUGAGUACCAUGGGGUAUCUGAAGGAGUUUUGAUUAAACCCAUCUGCAAUUCUUAGGUCCAC
ensembl:snoRNA small nucleolar RNA SNORD113/SNORD114 family